ACCUCGAUGAGUAGCUGUGGAGUGUCCCAGCAACAUCCCUUGAUAAAGUGUCAACUCCUCAUUGUCAAGACAGGGGAAGCCACACCUACUGUCAUCACAGACUGUGCCUCUCACAUGAGAAACCAUGUAUUGAUGCAGCAAGCGGGGAGGAGCACAGGGUUUGAAGAGGAAGAAAGAAGGCCUGGGAGGAUGGAUUUUCUGUACCUGCUCCUCUGUCAGAAAAGAGCUGACUCUCUAUGAUGCAGUGUCGCCAGCAGCUUCAAAGUCUGCCAUCUUGACUCCCCUGCAGUGAUGGACUAUGCUUGAAUUGAGGUUAUUAUCUUGAAUGUGUUCGUGGAGGUGCAAAGAUCCAGGCACUGUGGUUGCACCAUUGCUUGGACAGAGGAUUCUGAACUGUAUGAAAAAGAGACUGCUGGUUGAGUACUAGCAGGCACAUAUUCAUUUUCUUUCUGCUGUUGACUGAAGACAUGACUACCUGCUUUGAGUAACUGCACCUUUGACUCCCGACAGUGAUGGAUUUUAAAUUGGAAUUGUCAACUUAAAAACAACAUCAAAAACACUUUCUCCCUGAUGUUGCCUUUGUCAGAAUAUUUUAUUACAGAACCAGAGAUGAAACUA